rnacentral:rRNA from 1 species
UACGUAGGUGGCAAGCGUUGUCCGGAAUUAUUGGGCGUAAAGGGCGCGCAGGCGGCAUCGCAAGUCGGUCUUAAAAGUGCGGGGCUUAACCCCGUGAGGGGACCGAAACUGUGGAGCUCGAGUGUCGGAGAGGAAAGCGGAAUUCCUAGUGUAGCGGUGAAAUGCGUAGAUAUUAGGAGGAACACCAGUGGCGAAAGCGGCUUUCUGGACGACAACUGACGCUGAGGCGCGAAAGCCAGGGGAGCAAACGGG